UACAGAGGGGGCAAGCGUUGUUCGGAAUUACUGGGCGUAAAGGGCGCGUAGGCGGCCUGUUAAGUCGAACGUGAAAUCCCCGGGCUCAACCCGGGAACUGCGUCCGAUACUGGCAGGCUUGAAUCCGGGAGAGGGAUGUGGAAUUCCAGGUGUAGCGGUGAAAUGCGUAGAUAUCAGGAAGAACACCAAUGGCGAAGGCAGCUCUCUGGGACGGUACUGACGCUGAGACGCGAAAGCGUGGGGAGCGAACAGG
rnacentral:rRNA from 1 species